rnacentral:lncRNA from 1 species
UCAAUUGCUGCCUGUCUUGCAUAGUUGCAUCAUCAGCUCAUCAGACCUCAGUGCUCUGAUCGCUCUCGGUAUCCACCAUCUCCACUUUGGCAUUGGCCUCGCCAUUGCUCCUCCCUUCCUUGACGUACUCCAUCGUGUCGAUGUUGUAGAGUAUCGGGACCAUGGCCAUGGAGCAGAUGCACGGCAGGACGGGCCCGAAGAUCCAGAGCAGGAGCGGCGCGCCGGCGAAGAAGAGCCGGUUGCCGGCGAGGUUGAGGAGGAAUCCCCUCUCCAUGACGUUGGCGACGUAGUCCUUGGUGAGGGGGAGGUGGAGCGCCGGGGACGGGGAGAGCGCGUUGACGAGGAAGGAGGCCUGGUUGAGCGUGCAGAUGGCGAGGCUGUGGCAGAGGAAGGCGAGGAGGAAGACGGUGAGGAGGACGACGUACUUGAGCGCCAUCAUGUACUCGCCGUGCGCGCCGAAGACGGCGUCGCUGAGCGGCUUCUUCACGGCGUAGGUGCUGCUGAGCACCGCGGCGACGCCGGUGCAGAAGAGGAUGGACGUCGUCGCCACCAGCGUGGACCCCAUCAGCACGUUCCGCACCGACUGCACCACCAGGAUCGCCUGCUUCUCGUUGUUCUGCACCCACACGAUCGAGCAGGCAAAGAUCAGAUGACUUGAGAAUUGAGAUGAUGAACUCGCAAAAAUGGUGGUAAUUAACAGGGCUGCUGCAGCUAGUACCUUCAUCAUGGAGAAGACCCAGAGGCGGCGAGCGGCGGCGCUGAUGCCGACGGUGGAGCUGAGAGGGCUGCGGCGGACGGCGCGCCAGAGCCAGAGGUGGUACACGGCGGGGAAGAGGACGGCGAGGGGGAUCAGCACCACGUCCAAGUAGCUGUCCCUCCACGCCAUGGCCGACGAUGAUGGACACCGAUCGAUCUCUCCUCUGCUCUGCUAUGCAAUCUCUCUCCAAUUCCUCGCUCGGCCACUACUCGAUCCCUCUGCCUCUCUCGACCGGGAUGCGCGCCGCGGGUAGACGAAGAUGUCGCACCGUGUGGCCGGCCUC